UACGUAGGGUGCGAGCGUUAAUCGGAAUUACUGGGCGUAAAGUGUGCGCAGGCGGCCGCGCAAGUCGAGUGUGAAAGCCCCGGGCUUAACUUGGGAAUUGCGCUCGAAACUACGUGGCUGGAGUGUGGCAGAGGAAGGUGGAAUUCCAGGUGUAGCGGUGAAAUGCGUAGAGAUCUGGAGGAACACCGAUGGCGAAGGCAGCCUUCUGGGCCAACACUGACGCCUCAUGACACGGAAAGCGUGGGGAGCAAACAACGG
rnacentral:rRNA from 1 species